GAUGAACGCUGGCGGCGUGCCUAAUACAUGCAAGUCGAGCGAACAGACGAGGAGCUUGCUCCUCUGACGUUAGCGGCGGACGGGUGAGUAACACGUGGAUAACCUACCUAUAAGACUGGGAUAACUUCGGGAAACCGGAGCUAAUACCGGAUAACAUGUUGAACCGCAUGGUUCAACAGUGAAAGACGGUCUUGCUGUAACUUAUAGAUGGAUCCGCGCCGCAUUAGCUAGUUGGUAAGGUAACGGCGUACCAAGGCAACGAUGCGUAGCCGACCUGAGAGGGUGAUCGGCCACACUGGAACUGAGACACGGUCCAGACUCCUGCGGGAGGCCGCAGUAGGGAAUCUUCCGCAAUGGGCGAAAGCCUGACGGAGCAACGCCGCGUGAGUGAAGAAGGUCUUCGGAUCGUAAAACUCUGUUAUUAGGGAAGAACAAAUGUGUAAGUAACUAUGCACGUCUUGACGGUACCUAAUCAGAAAGCCACGGCUAACUACGUG
rnacentral:rRNA from 1 species